rnacentral:rRNA from 1 species
GUGAGGAAUAUUGGGCAAUGCCCGCAAGGGUGACCCAGCAACGCCGCGUGGAGGAUGAAUGUCGUAAGAUUGUAAACUCCUGUUAGAGGGGAAGAAUAGUACCGGUUGGACCGGUAUAUGACUGUACCCUCAGAGAAAGCCCCGGCUAACUACGUGCCAGCAGCCGCGGUAAUACGUAGGGGGCAAGCGUUGUCCGGAUUUACUGGGUGUAAAGGGCUCGCAGGCGGGAUAAAAAGUCAGUGGUGAAAUCCUACAGCUUAACUGUAGAACUGCCUUUGAUACUUUUAUUCUUGAGUUCGGGAGAGAGAGACGGAAUUCCAGGUGUAGUGGUGAAAUACGUAGAUAUCUGGAAGAACACCAGUUGCGAAGGCGGUCUCUUGGUCCGACACUGACGCUGAGGCGCGAAAGCGUGGGGAGCAAACA